rnacentral:rRNA from 1 species
GUGGGGAAUUUUGGACAAUGGGCGCAAGCCUGAUCCAGCAAUGCCGCGUGCAGGAAGAAGGCCUUCGGGUUGUAAACUGCUUUUGUACGGAACGAAACGGUCCGGGUUAAUACCCUGGGCUAAUGACGGUACCGUAAGAAUAAGCACCGGCUAACUACGUGCCAGCAGCCGCGGUAAUACGUAGGGUGCAAGCGUUAAUCGGAAUUACUGGGCGUAAAGCGUGCGCAGGCGGUUUUGUAAGACAGGCGUGAAAUCCCCGGGCUCAACCGGGGAAUUGCGCUUGUGACUGCAAGGCUGGAGUGCGGCAGAGGGGGAUGGAAUUCCGCGUGUAGCAGUGAAAUGCGUAGAUAUGCGGAGGAACACCGAUGGCGAAGGCAAUCCCCUGGGCCUGCACUGACGCUCAUGCACGAAAGCGUGGGGAGCAAACAGGAUUAGAAACCCUGGUAGUCC